CGCAUCAAGUCUGCUGUUAAAGGCUGGAGCUUAACUCCGGUAGAGCAGUGGAAACUGGUGCGCUAGAGGGCGACAGGGGUAGAGGGAAUUCCCAGUGUAGCGGUGAAAUGCGUAGAGAUUGGGAAGAACACCGGUGGCGAAAGCGCUCUACUGGGUCGCACCUGACCCUCAGGGACGAAAGCUAAGGUAGCGAAAGGGAUUAGAUACCCCUGUAGACUUAGCCGUAAACGAUGGAUACUAGGCGUGGCUUGUAUCGACCCAAGCCGUGCCGAAGCUAACGCGUUAAGUAUCCCGCCUGGGGAGUACGCACGCAAGUGUGAAACUCAAAGGAAUUGACGGGGGCCCGCACAAGCGGUGGAGGAUGUGGUUUAAUUCGAUGCAACGCGAAGAACCUUACCAGGGCUUGACAUCCCGCGAAUCUCGGUGAAAGCCGAGAGUGCCUUCGGGAGCGCGGAGACAGGUGGUGCAUGGCUGUCGUCAGCUCGUGUCGUGAGAUGUUGGGUUAAGUCCCGCAACGAGCGCAACCCUCGUCCUUAGUUGCCAGCAUUGAGUUGGGCACUCUAGGGAGACUGCCGGUGACAAACCGGAGGAAGGUGAGGAUGACGUCAAGUCAGCAUGCCCCUUAUGCUCUGGGCAACACACGUCCUACAAUGGUCGGGACAAAGGGGAGCGAGCUCGCGAGAGUCAGCGAAUCCCAGCAAACUCGGCCUCAGUUCAGAUUGCAGGCUGCAACUCGCCUGCAUGAAGG
rnacentral:rRNA from 1 species